UACGGAGGAUGCGAGCGUUAUCCGGAUUUAUUGGGUUUAAAGGGUGCGCAGGCGGAACUUUAAGUCAGUGGUGAAAUCUUGCCGCUUAACGGUAAAUUGCCAUUGAUACUGAAGUUCUUGAAUAUGGUUGAGGUAGGCGGAAUGUGUUGUGUAGCGGUGAAAUGCAUAGAUAUGACACAGAACGCCAAUUGCGAAGGCAGCUUACUAAGCCAUGAUUGACGCUGAGGCACGAAAGCGUGGGGAGCGAACAGG
rnacentral:rRNA from 1 species